GACAGAGGGUGCAAGCGUUGUUCGGAAUCAUUGGGCGUAAAGGGCGCGUAGGCGGUUUUGUAAGUCGAAUGUGAAAGCCCAGGGCUCUACCUUGGAAGUGCAUCCGAAACUGCGAAACUUGAAUCCUGGAGAGGGUGGUGGAAUUCCCAGUGUAGAGGUGAAAUUCGUAGAUAUUGGGAGGAACACCGGUGGCGAAGGCGACCACCUGGACAGAGAUUGACGCUGAGGCGCGAGAGCGUGGGGAGCAAACAGG
rnacentral:rRNA from 1 species